rnacentral:misc_RNA from 1 species
GACAGUUGAUUUUUGUAUGGUAUUUCUCCUCUCAGUUAUGUCUACGUUAUGAUGAGCAAUAGAAAUAUACCCAACAGAUGAGAUAUAUAUGGGUGUGACAGAAAGUGCCAAUCAGCACAAGCUGAAAAGACCAUAACCAGUUGAGUCACUGACUAGAACAAAGCUAACAAGACAUUCUACAUCAAAACACACUAGCAUGAAAAGAGCAUCUUCUCUAUGGUGCUGAUAUCAGAACAGAUCUUGAAGUUGAAGUUGACGAGAUAACGAAACAUGGAAUAGCAACUCAACUCAACUAAACUAAACCU